rnacentral:tRNA from 1 species
AAAUAAGAAUUGAUAUAUCACAUUUGAUUUCGACUCAAAUUUAGGUUAAUACCCUUAUUUA